AAGUUUAUAAUUUAAGAGGUUAAAAUAUUUCCUUGAUAAGGAAAAUUUAGAUGUUCGAAUCAUCUUAAACUUA
rnacentral:tRNA from 1 species